ensembl:lncRNA
CCUGACCCCAGCUGUCUGGGCCAUAAUUAACCCCUGACACAUAAUUAACACCUGACAGCACAUUAGCAGGCCUUGCUGGCACGUGGAAAGGUCACUCAGCUGCACCCCUCACCCUGUCCUCUCCAAUCCCAUUACAGGGAGCAGAUGCUGCUGGUGGGGGUGUCCCCUUGCUAUGGGGCAGCGGGUGUGGGGCUGAUUGCUCCAUCACCCUCCUGCCCCACUGAAAAGCAUCAACAGGGCCCAAAGCACAGACAAGGCCCAGUGCCAACCCCAUGGCACCCAGCCCUGCGGGGGUGGCUGGGGGCGGGGGCACCGACAGCUGCUGGGGCACAGAAAUAGCCGGGGCCAGGUGGCAGAGCUCAGCAUUGGGGAUGCAGCCAGGGCCUGGCCCCGUGCCAAGUCUCAGUGGUUGGGGCCAUCCCAGUGACCCUGAGCUUGACCCCCACAUCCCUUUCUGCUGGGGACAAACUCCACUCCCCCUUUCCAUAAACCCAAAAGCCCCCAUUGCCGAGCUGCUGCACUGCAGCCCACUGCUCCACUCUGUGACAUCUGCAAACCCUGCCCCCAUUGCCCAAUUCUGUGCCCUCCCAGCCUCCAUUGCCUCACUCCCUUUCCCUUCCCACAGCUCCCUAUUUCCCCACUCCUUACCCUUCCACAGAUUGAUGGCUUCCUGCACCCCAUAACCCACCUGGUCCCCCAUUGCCCCAUAUCUACCCACUCACUCCCCAUUUCCCCUCUGGCUGCCCUCCCAGCAGGGGCUGACCCCAGCCCCACAUCCCAGAGCUGCUGGCUGGGUGCCAACCCCAUGCCCUGGCAGCAGAUACCAGCAGCAGACAGGUGGCUGGUAGGAUUAGCACUAACUAGUAGUUUCAUAAUGGGGUCAAGAGGCCACGGGGAGGGAGGGAGGACAGGACAGGGGGACUUCAACAGCACACCUGGGCCUGCCAAGACCCCACCACCCAGUGUGGCACUCUAUCCCAGUGUCACCCCACAGUCCUAAUCCCCACAGCCCUGGCCAGGUUCUGUGCUCGUGGAUGCUGCUUGCUUUUAAUGACACCAUUAAAGGAAUAGGGCUGGGGUGGGGGGGCAGCGGAUAGGGCUGAGGACCUGGAUCCUUUUUGAUUUCUGACCCUGCCUGAACUUGAGGGGUCCUGUUUGCAUUCUAGGUCCUCUUUGGGCUUGGAGUUCUGUUUGGACAGGGAGUCCUGAUUGUGCUCAGGAUUCUGUUUGGGUUGGGGCUCUGUUUGGGCUCUGGAUCCUGUCUGGAUGUGGAGUCUUGUUUGGGCUCUUGGUCCUUUUUGAUUUUGGGUCCUGUCUGGGUUUGGGGAUCCUGUUUGGUUUUCGGUCCUGUUUGGGCUCAGGAUUCUUUUUGGGCUCUGGGUCCUGUCUGGAUGUAGGAUCUUGUUUGGGCUUUAGGACCUGCUCUGUUUUGGGUCUUGAGUUUGAGGGGUCCUGUUUAUAUUUUGAGUUCUGAUUACACUUGGAGACCUGUUUGGUUUUGGGUUCUGUUUGGACUCAGCAUCAUGUUUGGGCAGGGGAUCCUGUUUGGGCUCUGGAUUCUGCUUGGGUUGGGGUUCUGCUUGGGCUCUGGGUCUUGUCUGGAUGUGGGGUCUCGUUUGGGCUCUGGGUCCUUUUUGAUUUUGGAUCCUGUUGGGUUUUGGGAGUCCUGUUUGCAUUCUGGGUCCUGUUUGUGCAAGGAGUUCCAUUCAGGCUCAGAGUUCUGAUUGGUUUUGGAUCCUGUUUGGACUCAGGAUUUGUUUCAGUUGCAGUCCUGUUUGGGCUCGGGGUCCUGUUUGGGUUCUUCACGCAGAUGCUGCAGGAGGGCUAAAAGCAGUUCCUGACACUACUGGGGCCAGAGCCAUGAUGCUCAGGGAUCCUGUAAGGAGAGAAGACUGAGCAUGGCUGAACCCUGCUCCAC